rnacentral:lncRNA from 1 species
CUCGUGAUCCACCCACCUCGGCCUCCCAAAGUGCUGGGAUUAAAGGCGUGAGGCAAUGCGCCCGGCCAGGAGUUUUUACAAGGAGGAAGCUGAAGCUGGAAAGGCACGGAAAAGGAUCCUCCCCUAGAGCCUCAGAAGGAAGCAGCCGUGCGGACACCUUGGUGUCAGGCUUCUGGCUCACUGAACCAAGUCACGUACAAUCACAUUGUGAAACUUGGGAAACAACGCUUCCUUCCUUCAAAGUCAGUUCUGCUAUUCAUGUGGACCUAAUGUCUCUAGGAUCUUGUGCCCUCAUUAGUGGCCUGGAAGGACGCCCAGACCUUCCAGUUCAUCAGGGGUUGAAGUGGACGAUAGUUGUUCACCGUCAUCUUCUUCUCUUCACCAAGUGCAGAAAACAGGAGAGUACGAAAUGCAGAGAGCUGGAAUAGAGGGCAGCCAGGGUGAGCUUGGUAUGAGUGCAGGGUGAGCCAGCCCCCAGGUGUCCCUCAGGCCUUGUGUGGUCUCCUCCCAUGCUGAAUCAGGAUGGCCCGAAAUGACCAGUAAAGAUGGUGGAAGUGAUGGUGUGUGCAGGGCCAGCUUAUAAAAGGCAUUGCCGCUUCCGCCUUGGUCUUUAGGAUCACUUGCUCUGGGGGGAAGCUGGUCACCAUAUUGGGAGGGUACUCAAGCAGCCCCGAGGAGAGGCCCACAGGGAGAGGAGCUGAGGCUCCCAGCCAACUGCCAGCGCCAACUUGCCAUCCACUUGAGAGGGCCAACCUUGGAAUGAAUCCUCUAGCCCUAGUUGAGCUUUCAGAUCGCUACAGUCCCAGCUGACACUGGGCUACAAUUCAUGAAAGAUGGUAAGCCAGAGCCACCCAAAUUCACAACCCAAGGAAACUAUGGGAGAUAAUAAAUGAUUGGUUUUUGUUGUCAUUGUUGUUGUUGUUUGAGACAGUGUUUCCCUCUUGUUUCCCAGGCUGGAGUGUCAUUGGCAAGAU